rnacentral:rRNA from 1 species
AGAACACAGGUGCUGCAUGGGCUGUCGUCAGCUCGUGUCGUGAGAUGUUGGGUUAAGUCCCGCAACGAGCGCAACCCUUGUCACUAGUUGCCAUCAUUUAGUUUGGGCACUCUAGUGAGACUGCCGGUGACAAACCGGAGGAAGGUGGGGAUGACGUCAAGUCCUCAUGGCCCUUAUGGGUAGGGCUUCACACGUCAUACAAUGGUCGGUACAGAGGGUUGCCAAGCCGCGAGGCGGAGCCAAUCCCACAAAGCCGAUCGUAGUCCGGAUUGUUCUCUGCAACUCGAGAGCAUGAAGUCGGAAUCGCUAGUAAUCGCAGGUCAGCAUACUGCGGUGAAUACGUUCCCGGGUCUU